rnacentral:rRNA from 1 species
CGAACCGUGCGAACGUUGUUCGGAAUCACUGGGCUUAAAGGGCGCGUAGGCGGGCGGCCAAGUCGGAGGUGAAAGCCUGCAGCUCAACUGCAGAAGUGCCCCCGAUACUGGCCGCCUCGAGGGAGGUAGGGGCGUGCGGAACUUCCGGUGGAGCGGUGAAAUGCGUAGAUAUCGGAAGGAACACCGGUGGCGAAAGCGGCGCGCUGGACCUCUUCUGACGCUGAGGCGCGAAAGCCAGGGGAGCAAACGGGAUUAGAUACCCCGGUAGUCCUGGCCCUAAACGAUGGGUACUAGGUAGUGGGCUGGACAUCGGGCUCACUGCCGGAGCAAAAGUGUUAAGUACCCCGCCUGGGGAGUAUGGUCGCAAGGCUG